rnacentral:rRNA from 1 species
CCUACGGGGGGCUGCAGUGGGGAAUAUUGGACAAUGGGGGGAACCCUGAUCCAGCCAUGCCGCGUGUGUGAAGAAGGCCCUCGGGUUGUAAAGCACUUUCAGUGAGGAAGAACGCCUGGUGGUUAAUACCCAUCAGGAAAGACAUCACUCACAGAAGAAGCACCGGCUAACUCCGUGCCAGCAGCCGCGGUAAUACGGAGGGUGCGAGCGUUAAUCGGAAUUACUGGGCGUAAAGCGCGCGUAGGUGGCUUGAUAAGCCGGUUGUGAAAGCCCCGGGCUCAACCUGGGAACGGCAUCCGGAACUGUCAAGCUAGAGCGCAGGAGAGGAAGGUAGAAUUCCCGGUGUAGCGGUGAAAUGCGUAGAGAUCGGGAGGAAUACCAGUGGCGAAGGCGGCCUUCUGGACUGACACUGACACUGAGGUGCGAAAGCGUGGGUAGCAAACAGGAUUAGAUACCCCGGUAGUC